rnacentral:rRNA from 1 species
UGGGGAAUAUUGGACAAUGGANCAAGAGUCUGAUCCAGCAAUUCUGUGUGCACGAUGAAGUUNUUCUGAAUGUAAAGUGCUNUCAGCUGGGAAGAAAAUAAAUGACGGUACCCACAGAAGAAGUGAUGGCUAAAUACGUCCCAGCAGCCGCGGUAAUACGUAUGUCACAAGCGUUAUCCGGAUUUAUUGGGCGUAAAGUGCGUCUAGGUGGUUAUGUAAGUCUGAUGUGAAAAUGCAGGGCUCAACUCUGUAUUGCGUUGGAAACUGUAUAACUAGAGUACUUGAGAGGUAAGCGGAACUACAAGUGUAGAGGUGAAAUUCGUAGAUAUUUGUAGGAAUGCCGAUGGGGAAGCCAGCUUACUGGACAGAUACUGACGCUGAAGCGCGAAAGCGUGGGUAGCAAACAGGAUUAGAUACCCUGGUAGUCCAUGCCGUAAACGAUGACUACUAGGUGUUGGGGGUCGAACCUCAGCGCCCAAGCAAACGCGAUAAGUAAUCCGCCUGGGGAGUACGUACGCAAGUAUG